rnacentral:rRNA from 1 species
AAUAUUGCACAAUGGAGGGAACUCUGAUGCAGCGACGCCGCGUGAAUGACGAAGGNCUNNGGGUCNUNAAAUUCUGUCCUUGGNNNNNAUAAUGACGGUCCCCAAGGAGGAAGCCCCGGCUAACUACGUGCCAGCAGCCGCGGUAAUACGUAGGGGGCGAGCGUUGUCCGGAAUUAUUGGGCGUAAAGGGUGCGUAGGCGGCCCUUUAAGUCAGAUGUGAAAGCCCACGGCUUAACCGUGGGACUGCAUUUGAAACUGGAGGGCUUGAGUGUCGGAGAGGGCAGUGGAAUUCCCAGUGUAGCGGUGGAAUGCGUAGAUAUUGGGAGGAACACCAGUGGCGAAGGCGACUGCCUGGACGAUAACUGACGCUGAGGCACGAAAGCUAGGGGAGCAAACA